rnacentral:rRNA from 1 species
CCUGUAUUACCGAAGCUAUGGAUUUCAUAGUAAUAUGAUUUGGUAGGGGAGCAUUCUAUUCAGCGUUGAAGGUGCAUGGUGAUGUGUGCUGGAGCGGAUAGAAAAGCAAAUGUAGGAAUAAGUAACGAUAAUGCAGGCGAGAAACCUGCACACCGAUAGACUAAGGUUUCCUGAGCGACGCUAAUCGUCUCAGGGUUAGUCGGGACCUAACGCGGACCCGAAGGGGGUAGUGGAUGGAUAAUGGGUUAAUAUUCCCAUACUUGUUAUAACUGCGAUGGGGUGACGGAGUGAUGAAAGAACCGCGGACUGACGGAAUAGUUCGUUAAAGCCAGUAACUAUAGGACCUGUAGGCAAAUCCGCAGGUCUUGGUGAAGGUGAUAGUACCAAGAGGCUUCGGCCAAUUGGAUAGUGUUCCUAAGGGCUUCCAAGAAAAACCUCUAAGCUUCAGGUUAUAGCAACUCGUACCGCAAACCGACACAGGUAGUCAAGGAGAGAAUCCUAAGGUGCUCGAGUGAAUCAUGGCUAAGGAACUAGGCAAAAUGGUCUCGUAACUUCGGGAGAAGAGACGCCAACAGCAAUGUUGGCCGCAGUAAAUAGGCCCAGGCAACUGUUUAUCAAAAACACAUGGCUUUGCAAAAUCGAAAGAUGACGUAUAAGGCCUGACACCUGCCCGGUGCUGGAAGGUUAAGAGGAGAUGUUAGUUUCGGCGAAGCAUUGAAUUGAAGCCCCAGUAAACGGCGGCCGUAACAAUAACGGUCCUAAGGUAGCGAAAUUCCUUGUCGGGUAAGUUCCGACCUGCACGAAUGGUGUAAUGAUCUGGGUACUGUCUCAGCCAUGAGCUCGGUGAAAUUGUAGUAUCGGUGAAGAUGCCGAUUACCCGCAACGGGACGAAAAGACCCCGUGAACCUUUACUAUAGCUUCACAUUGACAUUGGGUAAUUCAUGUGUAGGAUAGGUGGGAGACGUUGAGGCUGCAUCGCCAGGUGUAGUUUAGUCGUCCUUGAAAUACCACCCUUGAAUUAUCUGAUGUCUAACGCUUACUAGUCGUAAGCGAACAUUGUGUGGUGGGUAGUUUGACUGGGGUGGUCGCCUCCAAAAGAGUAACGGAGGCUCCUAAAGGUACCCUCAGCACGCUUGGUAACCGUGCGUAGAGUGUAAUGGCAUAAGGGUGCUUGACUGAGAGACCGACAAGUCGAUCAGGUAGGAAACUAGAGCAUAGUGAUCCGGUGGUUCCGCAUGGAAGGGCCAUCGCUCAAAGGAUAAAAGGUACUCCGGGGAUAACAGGCUGAUCACUCCCAAGAGCUCA